rnacentral:rRNA from 1 species
UGGGGAAGGCUCGUCCUCCCAGGGUUAGUCGGGACCUAAGCCGAGGCUGAAAAGCGUAGGCGAUGGACAACAGGUGGAGAUUCCUGUACUACCUCCACUCCGUUUGAGCAACGGGGGGGACGCAGGAGGGUAGGGUGAGCAGACUGUUGGAU